GAUCAUGGCUCAGGAUCGAACGCUAGCUACAGGCUUAACACAUGCAAGUCGAGGGAACGACAUCGAAAGCUUGCUUUGAUGGGCGUCGACCGGCGCACGGGUGAGUAACGCGUAUCCAACCUGCCCGUCACUUGGGGAUAACCUUGCGAAAGUAAGACUAAUACCCAAUGACGUCUCUAGAAGACAUCUGAAAGAGAUUAAAGAUUUAUCGGUGAUGGAUGGGGAUGCGUCUGAUUAGCUUGUGGCGGGUAACGGCCCACCAAGGCAACGAUCAGUAGGGGUUCUGAGAGGAAGGUCCCCCACAUUGGAACUGAGACACGGUCCAAACUCCUACGGGAGGCAGCAGUGAGGAAUAUUGGGUCAAUGGGCGAGAGCCUGAACCAGCCAAGUAGCGUGCAGGAUGACGGCCCUAUGGGUUGUAAACUGCUUUUAUAAGGGAAUAAAGUUAGUCUCGUGAGACUUUUUGCAUGUACCUUAUGAAUAAGGACCGGCUAAUUCCGUG
rnacentral:rRNA from 1 species